rnacentral:rRNA from 1 species
AUGGGGGUGAAGGGGGGGUUACAUACAACCGGGGCAAAGUGGUUUAUGAUUGAAUCUCAGAGGCAUUCUUAUCAUUUGGUAGAUCCAAGUCCAUGGCCUAUUUCGGGUUCACUCGGAGCUUUGGCAACCACCGUAGGAGGUGUGAUGUACAUGCACUCAUUUCAAGGGGGUGCAACACUUCUCAGUUUGGGCCUAAUAUUUAUCCUUUAUACCAUGUUCGUAUGA